CAGCGGGUUCCUGGGAGCAGGAAGUCGAUCGCCUGUUGCCACCAGGCGUCGUCGAGUCGGAAGAACCAGUCGUUGUGGUCGGCUCCCGCAAU
rnacentral:tRNA from 1 species